rnacentral:rRNA from 1 species
GACGAACGCUGGCGGCGUGCCUAACACAUGCAAGUCGAACGGAAACAGCUUAAAGCUUGCUUUGAACUGUUUUAGUGGCGGACGGGUGAGUAACGCGUGAGGAACCUGCCUUUCAGAGGGGGAUAACGUCUGGAAACGGACGCUAAUACCGCAUGAUAUUCCGAGAUCACAUGGUUUUGGAAUCAAAGGAGCAAUCCGCUGAGAGAUGGACUCGCGUCCGAUUAGCCAGUUGGCGGGGUAACGGCCCACCAAAGCGACGAUCGGUAGCCGGGCUGAGAGGCUGAACGGCCACAUUGGGACUGAGACACGGCCCAGACUCCUACGGGAGGCAGCAGUGGGGGAUAUUGCACAAUGGAGGAAACUCUGAUGCAGCAACGCCGCGUGAAGGAAGAAGGUCUUCGGAUUGUAAACUUCUGUCCUCAGGGACGAUAAUGACGGUACCUGAGGAGGAAGCUCCGGCUAACUACGUG